UGGGUAUCUGAGAUCUUUACUGCCUCAAAGGGGGUCCAGGGAUAAGAACAAAACUAGGUGGAAGGUCCAGGGUUAUAUGUGGGUAAGAGGGGGUGGAUCAGAGGGUCAGGGUCCAAUGGGAACAGGGGAAAAUGGUGCAGAGGCGGGGUUAGGGGUAGGAACAACCAAUAGGAACACAGGGGUGGAGGACUGCACCAAACUGGGGCCAAUGGGGAUUGAGGGAAAGGAGAACAUUCUAGGGAUUUUACAUACAAGGUAGACAGGGGCUGAACUGGGGUGACAAUCAACUUGAUAAACCAAUGGGGAAAUAAACUUAACAGUACAUUAACGUUAGUUGUGAAGAUCGGUGGGAGAGAGGCCUUUUCUCACCCAAACUUCAGGAGGUUCUAUUUGCUGCCUCCUUUCCAGGACUGGGUAAUGGCGAUUUUAGUCACAGGCCCCUGGGCCUCCACGCUCAAUGUCACCAAUCCCCAUGGUCUGGAGAAAUGCCUUUCUGUCUCAAAGGAUCAUCUGGAUGUGCCAGCAACUGAACUGAGAUAUUUUCAGUCUCAGCAAAGGACACUCACCAGACGACACAAUGAACAUGUGUUUCUUAACCCAUUAGUUUCUCAAGAAAUUUUAGGAAGUUCUGCACAUUUAGUACAUGUUCAUGGACCCAGGAAAUAAUUCAGAUUGGAAAGAAUGGAAACCGUGGAGAGGAUGUGGUCCAGCCUCCCAUCCUUGCCUGAAGAAGACCUGAAAGUCUUAAGCAUCAGGGUCUAAGCCUGGAGUGUCCCCUCAAACCCUGCUGUUGCAGGGCUCUCCCUUGCACCCAUUCAAAUUGGCAAGUCUUUACACAGUGGCUUUAAAUCUACCAGUAUCUGUCUAAUCUGAUCACUUAAAAAGACUUGACCCUCCAUCCUCCAGCCCUUACAUCUUUCUGAACUUGUGGUUUCAUCUCUCUCCCCUAAGAGCGGGUGGCUUUUGUUACCACUCCCAUGAGGGGCCAGGGUGCCUGACUGUCACAGCAGUGUGCCAGGCUUGGGGCUCAGCCUUGGGGGUG
rnacentral:lncRNA from 1 species